GCACGGGGGCAACCCUGGUGGCGAGUGGCGAACGAGUGAGUAAUGCAUCGGAACGUGCCCAGUAGUGGGGGAUAACUAGUCGAAAGAUUAGCUAAUACCGCAUACGACCUACGGGUGAAAGCGGGGGACCUUUACCGGCCUCGCGCUAUCGGAGCGGCCGAUGUCUGAUUAGCUAGUUGGCGGGGUAAGAGCCCACCAAGGCGACGAUCAGUAGCUGGUCUGAGAGGACGACCAGCCACACUGGGACUGAGACACGGCCCAGACUCCUACGGGAGGCAGCAGUGGGGAAUUUUGGACAAUGGGCGCAAGCCUGAUCCAGCCAUGCCGCGUGCGGGAAGAAGGCCUUCGGG
rnacentral:rRNA from 1 species